rnacentral:rRNA from 1 species
UACGUAGGGUGCGAGCGUUGUCCGGAAUUAUUGGGCGUAAAGAGCUCGUAGGCGGCUUGUUGCGUCGACUGUGAAAACCCGCGGCUCAACCGCGUGGCUUGCAGUCGAUACGGGCAGGCUAGAAUUCGGUAGGGGAGACUGGAAUUCCUGGUGUAGCGGUGAAAUGCGCAGAUAUCAGGAGGAACACCGGUGGCGAAGGCGGGUCUCUGGGCCGAUAUUGACGCUGAGGAGCGAAAGCGUGGGGAGCGAACAGG